GGGGCUUUAGCUCAGCUGGGAGAGCGCCUGCCUUGCACGCAGGAGGUCAGCGGUUCAAUCCCGCUAAGCUCCACCA
rnacentral:tRNA from 1 species